GCCUGGGUGGCUCAGUUGGUUAAGCAUCUGACUUCGGCUCAGGUCAUAAUCUCACGAUUUGUGAGUUCAAGCCCCACAUCAGGCU
rfam:Felis catus isolate Cinnamon breed Abyssinian chromosome C1, whole genome shotgun sequence.